GCGGGUGUAACUCAGCUGGCAGAGUGCAAGCUUCCCAAGCUUGAUGUCGCGGGUUCGACCCCCGUCGCCCGCUCCA
rnacentral:tRNA from 2 species